CCUACGGGAGGCUGCAGUGGGGAAUAUUGGACAAUGGGGGCAACCCUGAUCCAGCCAUGCCGCGUGUGUGAAGAAGGCCCUCGGGUUGUAAAGCACUUUCAGUGAGGAAGAACGCCUGGUGGUUAAUACCCAUCAGGAAAGACAUCACUCACAGAAGAAGCACCGGCUAACUCCGUGCCAGCAGCCGCGGUAAUACGGAGGGUGCGAGCGUUAAUCGGAAUUACUGGGCGUAAAGCGCGCGUAGGUGGCUUGAUAAGCCGGUUGUGAAAGCCACGGGCUCAACCUGGGAACGGCAUCCGGAACUGUCAAGCUAGAGUGCAGGAGAGGAAGGUAGAAUUCCCGGUGUAGCGGUGAAAUGCGUAGAGAUCGGGAGGAAUACCAGUGGCGAAGGCGGCCUUCUGGACUGACACUGACACUGAGGUGCGAAAGCGUGGGUAGCAAACAGGAUUAGAUACCCCAGUAGUC
rnacentral:rRNA from 1 species